GACGAACGCUGGCGGCGUGCUUAACACAUGCAAGUCGAACGGUAAGGCCCUUUUGUGGGUACACGAGUGGCUAACGAGUGAGUAACUAGCGCGUAACCUGCCUACCACUUAGGGAUAACGCAAGGCAACUGGUGCUAAUACAGGCCAUGUGCUCCUGCUGCAUGCUGGGGGUUGGAAAGCUACGUGGGUUGUGGAUGGACUCGCGGCCUAUCAGCUUGUUGGUGGGGUGGUGGCCUACCAACGCGGCCGCGGGUAGGCGGCCUGGGAGGGGGACCGGCCACAUUGGGGCUUAAGUACGGCCCAGAAUCCGACGGGAGGGAGCAGUGAGGAAAGAUUCACAAUGGGCGCAAGCCUGAUGCAGCAAAGCCGCGUGAGGGAUGACGGCCUUCGGGGUGGAAACCAGUUUCAGCAGGGACGAAGCAGUAUGUGACGGUACCUGCAGAAGAAGCACCGGCUAACUACGUG
rnacentral:rRNA from 1 species